GCCUCGCCAGUUUCUGCUCUGAGGCCCCAAAGCCAAGCUGAACCUCCUCCAGGGGUUCUCAGCCCUAACUGAGCAUGAGAACCCCUGGGGCAAUCCUCUUUUUAACAAUUGAGACAUUCCACACACACCCCACAUCAGAUUUUGGGGUGUGGGGAUAGACCUUCACAUUUGUAGUUUUCUAACCCUCCAGGGGACACUAGGCUGAGACUCAUUGGUCUCCACUCUGAACCUUCCAUUGAACAUGUGAGAAAAACUAAGGCCCAGGGAAGUCUUUAGCAGAGAGCUGAGACGGAGAAAAGGGUUCUGAACCACAGCUGUCUGCUGAAGGAAGCUGUCCAAAGGCCAGUGAAGUCUCUCCUGAGGGUGCCUGGGCUGUGCAUCAGGAGUGAAGGUUGAGGGUCACCUUAGGUGUGAGAAGGAGCAACUGGGAGAGUGGCGCUGAUGCUUCCCCCCGGGUUAGGAGGCAUUUGGAUCACAGAGCGAUGCCUGUUCAUUCCUGCUUGCAAGGGAGCAGAUCUCUCGACACCCGAUGGGCCUCUAUUCCGUUCCGGCAGCUGUCGGUGUCAGGAGCGCUGGGCUUGCUCCUCCCCACGGGAGCCAUCACAGAGGCCUCGGGCAGUCUGCAUAGACAACUGCCUGGCAGGUGACCAGGAGGGGAUGCAUGAGUAGAUGCAGGUAGCACUCGCAGUCCCCCUAGCUGUGCCCUCAGCACCUGCUGUCUAGGAGGCAGAAGCCUUGUUCUCGGCCUUGCAGGUGACCCCAGUGUCUCUGAAUUCGGCCCCAUAUGUGUAGGAGGGGAGUGAUUGCAUCUGAAGAUGGGAGUCCGGUUGGGGGUUUGGGAAGCUCCCAUCACCCCUCAAGAGUCCACUGACCAGCCCAGCUCACACCAGGUGGGCCUUGGCAUUGGAGGCCACGGCUCAACUCUGCAGUUCCCUCUGGGCAGCAUUUCCAGGGACUCGUAGGUCAGCACGGUCAUCAAGGACGGGUGGUGAGAGCAGCUCCUCAUUGUCCUGGUGACCCCGAUGGUUCAUUUUCUGGUGUCUCUGUGGUGAGCUCCUGUUACAUCAAGCGAGUGGAAACCACCGAGGACCAACAGCCCUGGAAAUGCACUGAGAAUGCAGGAUGAGUGGGGUUUGUGAGGACUGUUUUCUGUGACUUAGCAAGGAAAGCCUGGAAGGGAAAGUAAAACUGCUUCUUCCCAGGGAAGCCAGAAACCUAAGAACUUAAAAGGGAAGGAGAACUUAAUAUAUUUCAAAAAUGUAACCCUUGUGAAUUAGCAACAGCUUUAUAAACAAAGAGAUUUCCGAGCUUAUAGAAUCUAUUCUGCUUUGUUUCUGCCCCCAUGGCUCCUACCCCUGUUUUUGUGGGUGCAAUUUUCAGAUAGAACAUUUUUACACAAGCUUCAAAACUCUCUGAGGACAGCUUUCCCCUUUGCGUCUGUCGGGUCCCAGGCAGUCACAUCCCAGGAAGUGCUGGGGUUGGGCUCCUUGCUCCACAUCCUUCUUCAGUGGCACGAAGCGUGGGGUGGAGUGUGUGAGUCAUGUGUGAUCUUGGUGUGGGCUAUGGCUGGUCUGCAGCACCCCUUCAAUGACUGCUUCAAGGGCUUUUCAUGAUGCUUGUAGCUCAUGAGCUAGUGUUUCCUAGACGCUGUUUCCAGGUGUCUUGCAUGUCACACACUGGCCUACCAGGGCUGGAGUGAGAUCAUGAGCGCCAGAUUGUUGGUGAAGGAAGUUGACAGAGACAUCGAAUGUCGGUGAACAGGAGUGACCUUGGGUCUCAAUAAAUACUGUGGUCUACUGAAUCCAGAACCCACCCUUACCAGCAGGGCCCACUUCUUCCCCAGCAGGCCGAGCUCUUCCCCUCCUGUCUUCCCUGGCCCUUGCUUUGUAGCUCUGUGUGGCUGUGUCAUGUCUGGUUGUAUCUGUGUAUACUUCUGCCUCUCCCGCUAUCUAGAUGGCUCGGGGAGGCACACCACACACCAGGUCACCUUCCUCUCUGAACCCCCAGCACCUCAUACUGUUUCUGUGCAGAGAUAAGGCUGGGUGAAAGCUUGUGUGAAUGAUCUGAAGUCUUCUACUCUAGGCCAGUCUCCAGGAGCAUUAUGAUCUUUAGGAGGGUGGGCUUGGUUCCUCUGUACAAUAAUGGGUCAUAAAACUGAGUGGUCAAGAUCAUCCCGGUGAGGGCAGUCCGUGUGUUGCCAUAGUUGCUGUACCGGUUAAGAAUGCACCUGGCUGCAAUUUCCUGAAAACCUGACGUAUAGUGGCUUAAACAAAGAGUGGUUUAUUUUCCUUCUGUCAUAGCAAUCUGGGGGAGGCCACUGUGGCUUUGGCGCAGGAGGUCGGGAAAGGCCCGCUUCUCUGAUAUCACUGGGGGCCUCCCCAGUGCUUGUGUGGCAGAAUGACAAGAGGAAGAAGAAGGAGAAUUAUGGCACUGAGUAUCAUGAGAUUUGGGGUCAUAUAUCUUUAGUGGGCGGUGUUUGCUGCCCCAAAUGUCUCAUGCCAUUAAAAUGUUCUGGAAAUGAUUUAGGUAGUUGGAGUUUCCUUCCCAAAGACAAGGCAUUUACAGCAUGAUGUCCAAUAUCCAUUGAGUUUGUGUCAUGCAUUCAUUGUAUUCAUAGUCUGCUUUAGGUACUUAGCAAAAUAUUGCUGAUAUUAACAUGCCUUUGUUUGCUUCACUGGAGAUGAAAUUGUGCUCCAAGUGUUUUCCAAGGUUCCGUAUGACCCAUCAUUUGAUGAAACAAGAACAGCAGUCAGAUCCAUUACAAAGAGAGACACACAAAAAAACUAUGUGAAAAUGAGCUUAGCCCCUGGUGUUGUGUUGGAACUUCAGAUGCUUGCAGACACUUCAUGAAUGCUCUGUGACACUCAGAAUAGGCUCUUCCCAACAAAAGAGCUUGAACAAUGCUGCAUUUGCCUCAGGUUCAAAUGAGCGAGAGGAACAUUUGGCUAAAAUAUUUGGAACCAGCGUUGCUUGGAAUUCUCCUAAACCAGAAUAUUUCCUUGGCAGUGUGGACAAAAUUCCUGAUAAAGAUCACCUUUCAGAGGAGAAGAAUUUUAAAGAAUCCUGUCUGUUCCACAGGGAUUUAAGAGAGCAGUUAACUACUGUAGAUAAAGAAACACUUCAAGGAGCAGCUAAACCAGAUGCUCACUUUAGGACUAUGCCCUGCGGGCAGCUUCUGCACUUCCUGCAGAAAAACACCAUCAUCGCCACCGUCUCAGGGGUGGCCAUCCUCAUGGCCAUCGUGCUGUUGCUGCUUGGGUUGGCCUCAUACAUCAGGAAGAAACAGCCAUCAUCUCCUCUGGCAAACACGACAUAUAAUAUUUUUAUGAUGGAUGGAAAGACAUGGUGGCACAAUUCUGAAGAAAAAAAUUUCACAAAACAUGCAAAGAAACAGAAACAGUUGAAGAGCAGCUCCUGUGUCUAAGCCAGGUCCUGGGGCCAUCAAACCAGGACUUGAAACCACAAUGCGAGGACAUUCUCCAUCUGCGCACCACAGGGAGGCAAUUCCAUUUCUGCCCGGGAGGUGUAUUCUACAAAAACGUCUGCUUCCCAUCCCAAUUUGAAUGGACCAAGAAAAACUGCUUUACCAUAGGACACUUGUGGCAAUAUGGCACCAAUGGCUGGCGUCGGCGAACCCGACAGACUAUGGAUUUAUCAUUUAAUAAAGCAUUGAUUCAUUUUUUCAGUCAUUCAUUGAACAGAUAUUAAUAGACCACCUCACAUGCUGACAAUAUCAAAAUACAAUGAGGAAACUAACAGUGACCCAGGCAUGCAUUCUUCCCCGAGCAAGAUCACAGUCCAGAGUGUGAGCACAACCAUACUAAAUAGCUUUUAUGGGAGGUGGGAGUACACAAAGUAUUAUAUCUGCAAAGAAACUGCUAAGAAUUGUGGGAGCGCCCCAGGAGGUGAUUUCCUGCUUGCGUGACCAGCACAAAGAAAUGGGGUAAUUGAGAGUGUCAUGAAG
rnacentral:lncRNA from 1 species